UAUAAGGAUCCCAUGGCAGAGAGGGGACUGAGUUCUCGCGGGAUCCUGGGGGCAGCGCAGGCGCAGUUGCUGCUCCUGCACGGGACCAAGGUGCUGGGUGCAGCGUUUCUGCACACGGCUCGCCCCCGCCAUCUUGAACAGAGUGUUGGGGGCGGAGCUUUUGCCGUCGUCGCCACCGUUUUGCACCAGGCAUCCUGUUGGGAAGAGCUGGAGGGAGGCCUCUGUACCUGGUGCCUUGGGAACCAGUGAACUAGACUCAGCGCAGAGAAAACAAGAUAUACGCCCAGGCAGGCUCAAUUUCUAUUUGCAGUCAUGAUGUGAAUCAAACGCUACUGCAGGCCCAGCAUGAACCCAGAUUAUGUCACCCCCAGAGUGUCCACUGUGAUGAUCGACAAGAUACUAGUAGUUCCUGGACUAGACACCCACAGCAUUGGAGGAAAAACAGCCUUCGGCCCAAAGAAAAUUAUAUUGAGAGAAGAAAUCGAAAGCCUUUUGAAGAAAAACUCAGAUUGCACAUGGGAUUGGUCAGGGGAUCUUCCUGACUGACUGAGGGAUGGAACCUGCAUCUCCUGCAUUGGCAGGCAGUUUCUUUACCAUUGCAUCACCUGGAAGCCUUCAGCAGUGAUCCUAGUACCCUGACCAAAGAUGGAACCCAUGCCUCCUGCAGUGGAAGCACAGAGGCGUAACUGCUGGAACACCAGGAAGUCUCCCCAAGUUACAUUUUUAACUUUUAUUUUUUUCUUAGACUGUUUCUCAAAAUGAACAUAGUUUUCUUUUUUGUGUGAUGAAAAUAAUACAUAUCAAUUGAAAUAAAUUCAGUACAAAGGGUGUAAAGUUCUCUAACCCAGAGAGAACUCUUUUUAACAUUUUGGUGUGUACCUUUCUGCA